GGGGAUGUAGCUCAGAGAUAGAGUGUGUGCCUCGUAUGUGUGAGGUCCCAGGUUCAAUCCCCUGCAUCUCCA
rnacentral:tRNA from 1 species